rnacentral:rRNA from 1 species
GCACAGAGUUAGCCGGUGCUUAUUCUGUCGGUAACGUCAAAACAGAUACGUAUUAGGUAACUGCCCUUCCUCCCAACUUAAAGUGCUUUACAAUCCGAAGACCUUCUUCACACACGCGGCAUGGCUGGAUCAGGCUUUCGCCCAUUGUCCAAUAUUCCCCACUGCUGCCUCCCGUAGGAGUCUGGACCGUGUCUCAGUUCCAGUGUGACUGAUCAUCCUCUCAGACCAGUUACGGAUCGUCGCCUUGGUGAGCCAUUACCUCACCAACUAGCUAAUCCGACCUAGGCUCAUCUGAUAGCGCAAGGCCCGAAGGUCCCCUGCUUUCUCCCGUAGGACGUAUGCGGUAUUAGCGUCCGUUUCCGAGCGUUAUCCCCCACUACCAGGCAGAUUCCUAGGCAUUACUCACCCGUCCGCCGCUCGCCACCAGGUACAAGUACCCGUGCUGCCGCUCGACUUGCAUGUGUUAGGCCUGCCGCCAGCGUUCAAU